rnacentral:rRNA from 1 species
CCUACGGGCGGCAGCAGUAGGGAAUAUUGCUCAAUGGGGGAAACCCUGAAGCAGUCAAGCCGCGUGGGGGAUGAAGGUUUUCGGAUUGUUAAAUCCUUUUGUUAGAGAAGAUAAUGACGGUAUCUAACGAAUAAGCACCGGCUAACUCCGGGCCAGCAGCCGCGGUAAUAGGGGGGGUGCAAGCGUUACUCGGAAUCACUGGGCGUAAAGAGCGGGUAGGCGGGAUAGCAAGUCAGAUGUGAAAUCCUAUGGCUUAACCAUAGAACUGCAUUUGAAACUGUUAUUCUAGAGUAUGGGAGAGGUAGGUGGAAUGCUUGGUGUAGGGGUAAAAUGCGUAGAGAUCAAGAGGAAUACUCAUUGCGAAGGCGACCUGCUAGAACAUAACUGACGCUGAGGCGCGAAAGCGUGGGGAGCGAACAGGAUUAGAUACCCGGGUAGUC